AUCCAGCCAUGCCGCGUGUGUGAAGAAGGUCUUCGGAUUGUAAAGCACUUUAAGUUGGGAGGAAGGGCAUUAACCUAAUACGUUAGUGUUUUGACGUUACCGACAGAAUAAGCACCGGCUAACUCUGUGCCAGCAGCCGCGGUAAUACAGAGGGUGCAAGCGUUAAUCGGAAUUACUGGGCGUAAAGCGCGCGUAGGUGGUUUGUUAAGUUGGAUGUGAAAUCCCCGGGCUCAACCUGGGAACUGCAUUCAAAACUGACUGACUAGAGUAUGGUAGAGGGUGGUGGAAUUUCCUGUGUAGCGGUGAAAUGCGUAGAUAUAGGAAGGAACACCAGUGGCGAAGGCGACCACCUGGACUAAUACUGACACUGAGGUGCGAAAGCGUGGGGAGCAAACAGGAUUAGAUACCCUG
rnacentral:rRNA from 1 species